UUGAACGCUGGCGGCAGGCCUAACACAUGCAAGUCGAACGGUAACAGGAAGAAGCUUGCUUCUUUGCUGACGAGUGGCGGACGGGUGAGUAAUGUCUGGGAAACUGCCUGAUGGAGGGGGAUAACUACUGGAAACGGUAGCUAAUACCGCAUAACGUCGCAAGACCAAAGAGGGGGACCUUCGGGCCUCUUGCCAUCGGAUGUGCCCAGAUGGGAUUAGCUAGUAGGUGGGGUAACGGCUCACCUAGGCGACGAUCCCUAGCUGGUCUGAGAGGAUGACCAGCCACACUGGAACUGAGACACGGUCCAGACUCCUACGGGAGGCAGCAGUGGGGAAUAUUGCACAAUGGGCGCAAGCCUGAUGCAGCCAUGCCGCGUGUAUGAAGAAGGCCUUCGGGUUGUAAAGUACUUUCAGCGGGGAGGAAGGGAGUAAAGUUAAUACCUUUGCUCAUUGACGUUACCCGCAGAAGAAGCACCGGCUAACUCCGUGCCAGCAGCCGCGGUAAUACGGAGGGUGCAAGCGUUAAUCGGAAUUACUGGGCGUAAAGCGCACGCAGGCGGUUUGUUAAGUCAGAUGUGAAAUCCCCGGGCUCAACCUGGGAACUGCAUCUGAUACUGGCAAGCUUGAGUCUCGUAGAGGGGGGUAGAAUUCCAGGUGUAGCGGUGAAAUGCGUAGAGAUCUGGAGGAAUACCGGUGGCGAAGGCGGCCCCCUGGACGAAGACUGACGCUCAGGUGCGAAAGCGUGGGGAGCAAACAGGAUUAGAUACCCUGGUAGUCCACGCCGUAAACGAUGUCGACUUGGAGGUUGUGCCCUUGAGGCGUGGCUUCCGGAGCUAACGCGUUAAGUCGACCGCCUGGGGAGUACGGCCGCAAGGUUAAAACUCAAAUGAAUUGACGGGGGCCCGCACAAGCGGUGGAGCAUGUGGUUUAAUUCGAUGCAACGCGAAGAACCUUACCUGGUCUUGACAUCCACGGAAGUUUUCAGAGAUGAGAAUGUGCCUUCGGGAACUGUGAGACAGGUGCUGCAUGGCUGUCGUCAGCUCGUGUUGUGAAAUGUUGGGUUAAGUCCCGCAACGAGCGCAACCCUUAUCCUUUGUUGCCAGCGGUCCGGCCGGGAACUCAAAGGAGACUGCCAGUGAUAAACUGGAGGAAGGUGGGGAUGACGUCAAAUCAUCAUGCCCUUUAUGUCUUGGGCUACACACGUACUACAAUGGAUGUUACAAAGGGAAGCGAAGUAGUGAUAUGGAGCGAAACCCAAAAAGCAUCCCCAGUUCGGAUUGUAGGCUGAAAUUCGCCUACAUGAAGCCGGAAUUGCUAGUAAUGGCAGGUCAGCAUACUGCCGUGAAUACGUUCCCGGGCCUUGUACACACCGCCCGUCACACCAUGAGAGUUGGGGAUACCCGAAGCCUGUGAGCCAACAGUUAAAUGAGGCAGCAGUCGAAGGUAGAAUCAAUGAUUGGGGUG
rnacentral:rRNA from 1 species